AGAGUUUGAUCAUGGCUCAGGAUGAACGCUGGCGGUGUGCCUUAGGCAUGCAAGUCGAACGGUAAUCCCGCCUUCGGGCGGGAACGAGUGGCAGACGGGUGAGUAACACGUAGGAAUCUACCUAGUAGUGGGGAAUAGCUUCGCGAAAGCGGAGGUAAAACCGCAUACGUCCCGCAGCAAUGUGGGAGAAAGCAGUAAUGCGCUAUUAGAGGAGCCUGCGCGCUAUCAGCUAGUUGGUGUGGUAAUGGCCUACCAAGGCUACGACGGCUAGCCGAUGUGAGAGCAUGAUCGGCCACAAGGCUACUGAAACACGGAGCCUACACCUACGGGUGGCAGCAACCGGGAAUUUUGCGCAAUGGACGAAAGUCUGACGCAGCGACACCGCGUGUGGGAUGAAGGUCUUCGGAUCGUAAACCACUGUGGCGAGGGAGGAAUUUUGACAGUACCUCGCUAGAAAGCACCAGCUAACCACGUGCCAGAAGCUUCGGUAAUACGUGGGGUGCGAGCGUUAUCCGGAUUUACUGGGCGUAAAGGGUCCGUCGGCGACUUGAUAAGUUGCUUGUUUAAGCCUGAGGCUCAACUUCAGAUAAGCAAGCAAAACUGUCAGGAUAGAGCCUGUUCGAGGAAGUUGGAAUUCUUGGUGGAGGGGUGAAAUCCGUAGAUAUCAAGAGGAACACCACGCGCGAAAGCAUACUUCUAGGACAGUACAGACGCUCAGGGACGAAAGCUUGGGUAGCAAAGCGGAUUAGAGACCCGUGUAGUCCAAGCUGUAAACGUU
rnacentral:rRNA from 1 species